CAGUAGCCGCGGGAAUACGGAGGGAGCUAGCGUUGUUCGGAAUUACUGGGCGUAAAGCGCGCGUAGGCGGUUACUCAAGUCAGAGGUGAAAGCCCGGGGCUCAACCCCGGAACUGCCUUUGAAACUAGGUGACUAGAAUCUUGGAGAGGUCAGUGGAAUUCCGAGUGUAGAGGUGAAAUUCGUAGAUAUUCGGAAGAACACCAGUGGCGAAGGCGACUCGCUGGACAGGUAUUGACGCUGAGGUGCGAAAGCGUGGGGAGCAAACAGGAUUAGAUACCCCAGUAGUCCCUGUCUCUUAUAC
rnacentral:rRNA from 1 species